rnacentral:rRNA from 1 species
AGGAAGCACCGGCUACCUCCGUGCCAGCAGCCGCGGUAAUACGGAGGGUGCAAGCGUUGUUCGGAAUUAUUGGGCGUAAAGCGCGUGUAGGCGGAUGAAUAAGCCAGGUGUGAAAUCCCUUGACUCAAUCAAGGAACUGCACUUGAAACUAUUUGUCUCGAGUACGAUAGGGGAGGGCGGAAUUCCCAGUGUAGAGGUGAAAUUCAUAGAUAUUGGGAGGAACACCAGUGGCGAAGGCGACCCUCUGGACCGAUACUGACGCCGAGACGCGAAAGCGUGGGUAGCAAACAGGAUUAGAUACCCUGGUAGUCCACGCUGUAAACGAUGUGCACUAGGUGUUGGAGGUGCUUAAUCCUUCAGUGCCGCAGCUAACGCA